rnacentral:rRNA from 1 species
AGCAUAUCAAUAAGCGGAGGAAAAGAAACCAACAGGGAUUGCCUCAGUAACUGCGAGUGAAGCGGCAAAAGCUCAAAUUUGAAAUCUGGUACCUUUGGGUGCUCGAGUUGUAAUUUGGAGAGGCAACUUCGGAGGAGGCGCUGGCCUAAGUUCCUUGGAACAGGACGUCACAGAGGGUGAGAAUCCCGUGCUUGGCUGGCUGUCCUCCUUCAUGUGAAGUGUCUUCGACGAGUCGAGUUGUUUGGGAAUGCAGCUCAAAAUGGGUGGUAAACUCCAUCUAAGGCUAAAUAUUGGCGAGAGACCGAUAGCGCACAAGUAGAGUGAUCGAAAGAUGAAAAGCACUUUGAAAAGAGAGUUAAACAGUACGUGAAAUUGUUGAAAGGGAAGCGCUUGAGACCAGACUCGGUGUUAGGUGAUCAGCGGUUGCUUUUGCUCCGUGCACUUGCCUUUUAUCGGGCCAGCAUCAGUUGUGACGGUGGGAUAAAGACUCAGGGAAUGUGGCUCUCUUCGGGGAGUGUUAUAGCCCUGGGUGUAAUGCCGCCUGUUACGACUGAGGACCGCGCUUCGGCUAGGAUGCUGGCAUAAUGGUCUUCAGCGACCCGUCUUGAAACACGGACCAAGGAGUCUAACAUCUAUGCGAGUGUUCGGGUGUAAAACCCCUACGCGUAAUGAAAGUGAACGGAGGUGGGAACUCUUCGGAGUGCACCAUCGACCGAUCCUGAUGUCUUCGGAUGGAUUUGAGUAGGAGCAUAGCUGUUGGGACCCGAAAGAUGGUGAACUAUGCCUGAAUAGGGUGAAGCCAGAGGAAACUCUGGUGGAGGCUCGCAGCGGUUCUGACGUGCAAAUCGAUCGUCAAAUUUGGGUAUAGGGG